GUUUUGAUUUUGUACGUGCAAUUUUUUAGGUUACAAAUGGACACAAUAUUUUUCCAAAUUAUCUGUCUGCACCCAGUGAAUUGCUGAGGAGAUUUCAACCUUCAUAUAGAAUUAUGCAUUUCUGAGUACAUGGAUUUCAUCUGGCUUUAAUGUUCCUACUGGGACUAUCUCCUCUACCUCAGCAAUUGUUACUUUUGCCGCUCGACAUACAGCAGGAUUGAAGUUCCUAGCGCUUUUAUUGAAGACUUGCAAAACCGAACCAGGAAUGGAAUAAAAUGAAUAAAUUUUUCGCAACAUAUCUAGAACAAAGAUUCGUGAAUAAGAUUUCAUCGAACCAACUUUUAGUUUACACCCAGACAAAUCAAUUGAUUUUAUCUGUUUUUAUCAUUUUAUAUAAUAGCUCCUGCUAGUAAUAACUUUUUGUUAUUAAAUAGCUCCUAAAUUACCCAUUGAUGGAUCAGAUAAAUAAAAUACAGGUUGAAUAAGUUAUCGAAGAGUUUACAAUAUUUGAAUUGCAAUGAAAAUAUGGUUGGAAAACAGAACAUUAUUAGAUUUUCUAAAAAAUCACAACAAAAGGAUUCCAUUUACUGGUGUAUUUCUUUUUAGAUAUAAUGCUAAAUAGUGGAGAAGUGAGAAACUUGGCAACUCACAUGAUGAAAAUUUAAUAAGCACACCGGCAUCGAAAAUAUGUUUUAUUAGUUUUCUGAGAGCUGGAAAAAUUGAAAGAAUAAUAUGUGUGCCAAUAAUAUUAGGUGAACAAGUUUCCUAUUUAAGGAAAAUUACCACUUUAUUAUUAGACUUAGCCAAUGUUCAAUAAAAUGAAAUAUCUAGUCGCUGGCCAGAAAAAUUAACAUAAUCCGAAAUAGUUGUUGAAUCCAAAGCUGGUCCAUUCAUGGUUCCAACAACAGGUCAGAUAAUAACACCAUCUUCAUACCCUGAUUCUUUAUUUGUGGAUUUCAUAUUGUAAAAUCUAGAUCCAGCUAGACCAAUAAGGAUCCAUAUGAGAAAAUUUUGAUAAGCAUACCGGCUCAAAAUAUGCAUUAUCAAAAGAUUUGUGUCACCUCAACAUUGUCAUUGUCAUUCAAGAAGAAACAGUGUGUGAAUAAUAUCAGGUUGUUGGGAUUGUUGAAUACGAAGCUGGGGGGGUCUAAUUCAUGGAUUCGCCAACAAGUUAGAUAAUAACACCAUCUUCAAAUCGUGGUUCUUUACUUGUGGAUUUUAUAUCAAAUUUUCUAGACCUAAAUCAGUCUAAUUUGUGCAACUAAUAUUGGGCGAAUAUGCAUCUCAGUUAAUUAAAUUUAAUUCAAAACUAUUUCCUGGCCCGAAAAAUUAUCGGAAUUGAUAGAUCAGGAACUGUUUUUUUUUUUUGAUGAUUUUGCCGA